CAGUAGCCGCGGUAAUACGUAGGUGGCAAGCGUUGUCCGGAAUUAUUGGGCGUAAAGGGCUCGCAGGCGGUUUCUUAAGUCUGAUGUGAAAGCCCCCGGCUCAACCGGGGAGGGUCAUUGGAAACUGGGAAACUUGAGUGCAGAAGAGGAGAGUGGAAUUCCACGUGUAGCGGUGAAAUGCGUAGAGAUGUGGAAGAACACCAGUGGCGAAGGCGACUCUCUGGUCUGUAACUGACGCUGAGGAGCGAAAGCGUGGGGAGCGAACAGGAUAGAUACCCCCGUAGUCCCUGUCUCUUAUACA
rnacentral:rRNA from 1 species